GGCAAGCCAGCUGCACACAGAUGCAAUUCACCUCCUCUGCUGGCCUCCGUAUCUGGAGUGCUAUCUGAAAGGAAAACUAGGAAGCUGAGACAUAAAAUAUAUCCAUUACCCCAAACAGCUCAAUGGAAAUGGACAAUGUUCAGCUCUGUUAAUGGACACAGUGACAACAUCUGUGCCUUAGUCUUCAGGUCAGAACUUACUGAUUGGAGCCGCAAUCGUCAGAGGAUAAGCCAGCGACGGAGAAGCACCCAGACACAAAGGAACCCAUUGGAACAUGUACAACUUUCUAAUCCCUGGGAAAAUGAGACUAGCUUACCAUCCCAGUCAACUUCAGAGGAUGCUCUGCAAACUAAGGAGCGGCACUGCAUACAGCAUACAGAAGUCAUGCCUGCCAAGCAGCUGGAGCUCCUAGCAGUGAUGAUCAACUACAGCUGUGGACUUCUGCACACUGCUGUGUCAAGACAGAUGUUAGGUGCUCAGCCUGCAGUCUGUAAGAAGCUUUAGCUGAUUCAGAUUUGCAUUCAGUAAUUUUCAUGCUCAAAAAGAGACCCACAGUCUUGCUAAGGAUUCAGCUGCAAACUAACAUGAGCAAUAAUCCCAAGUAGAUCUGAAAUGGAGAUUUUACAGAGAGUUAAGUACCCUGGUGAGAGAAAAAUAAAUCUUGUAUUACUCUAAAAGUGACACUUUCAAUAGACACAAAAAGGCACACCCCUAUGUAUAAACUGAAGCAUUAAAAUACCUGUUAUAAAUCUCCAGCAGAUACCAUCUCAGCUUUAACUACAGUGUUCACAGAACAUUUUUGGUGCUACCGUGUGGUCAUAGCCAUACAUUAGGCAUGCAGAUGGAAAGGGGUUUGAGCUCUUUAAGAGAAACUCCUCCCCUAUUCCCAUCCAGCGCCACAAUAUUAUGUCUUUCUAAAACUACAGGGGUAGCCCGUUUUCCUGACUCGUUCUAUACAAUACAUCACAAACAGAGUAGAGAAAUAGCUUGAGAGAACUGUAUUCUCAGGAAAGCUCGGUUGAACAAAAACAAACAAACAAACAAACAAAAAAAACAAUGAAAGGAAAUGAAAUCACAGGUAAGAAUAUUGCUUUCUAUUUAAAAAUAAAAAUUUUGGAGAAUCCAAUGUCAGAUGCUAAAAUAAACAUUCCCAGUUAAAGCCAGGUAAGGUACUGGGCGAAAGCAUUCAGGGGGUAGGUGGCAUCUUUUUGAUGACUUGGGAAUUUAAAAAACACUGGCUCAGGCAUCCCUAAAUAAUGCAGUAUGCUCUUCCCUAUGUCAGGAUUCAGCACAACCUGGUCCAGCCCCAGGAGUCUCCUACCGGGACAGUCAAAGGACAAGACUAGUAAGCAAAAGCAGUCAGUAAUACAGAUGGAUCAUUUCACAGCAGCAUUUUACAAGAGAGAGAUAUAAAAUAUAUUUGCCUCCGCAGACCUACAAACAGAGGUUACUCACAGAGAUUACUGCAGCUCCAGCAGUUACCCAUUGAUCAUAGAAAAUGCCCAGUUCAUCAGCUUAAUGCUCGAGAAAAGUUAGCUAGAAAAAAAGGCAGCUAAUUCAAAAUCUGCUGUUCUAGUCAACUGGAAGCAAAUUAGUUUCAAAUUUCCUGGCAGCCCCUUUUGCCCUGCACUGCACACGGUGAUGUCAGUGGAAGCACUUUGAGCACCAGAAACCCUCGCGGAGAGGUGCUGCCGCCUGGAUCCUCUCUCACAAAGGCUAAGCUGCCUGUUCUUUCGCUCGCUCACUCACCCCCUUUCUGCCUGUCUCUCUCUACCUUGGUAGCUUACCGAAAACAACCACCGUAGGGCUUUUCUAUAUUUGUGAAAACUACUUCCAAGGAGAUAAUUGAGAUGCCGGGAGUUAGCUUUAAUGUAACCAUUUCCCCAGUGCAGCGGCAGAAACCCCAGCGAAGGCUCUGAGAGGAUUGUACCAUCCUCGGUGACAUCAGAGGUGGGGCUGUCAUCUCAGGAUUAUGCAGCAUUUUCUCUGAUGAGAGAAUGACAUAUGUGAAAUGAAAUGCAUGGGUUCCCUUUAAAAGGGCUUAGUUCCUAUGCUGUUUUAAACAGAACAGGCAAAAGCAAAUACAAUGUUGAAAAACUGCUGUAGGAAGAUAGAAAUCUUGCUUUGCCAGUCCUUAUCUCGCUACUAAAUGACGCUGCCAUCUCAAGUCAUUUUACUGAUGAUUACAUUAUCAUUACUGUGAUUAAAUUAAUAUUUCAUAGGUAAUUGAUAGUACUUGGAAAAUGUGAUAUGAAAAAUUCAUAUUUAACAUCUGGUUUUAAAUAUGAUGGCAUAAACUUUUACAUCUCUAACAGUACCUUGGACAUAUGCAAUACUUCCAACACAUUCUCAAUAAAAAUACUAUAUGUAAAAACAGUUUUGUAGAUGAGAAAAAUGAGGUGAAAAACAGCACAAGAUGAAAAGCAUAAUGUAAUACUGGUCUUUAGUCUUGGUAAUGGAGGUUAAUACAAACAGCAAAAAGAACUCAUCUUCUAUAACCUUAAUACUCCAGUGUCAAAAGCGUAGGCCAACAACACAAAGCAACUGAUGGUGAUUUUCAUUAAUUCCAUAUGCAUUUACUGAGAAGAGGCUAACAGGUUUUAAAAAAUGUGUGAAACCUACUUUGGAAUGUACCUUUCCACUAAGUAAUAAAAUCACAACAGAAAAUACAUAUAUAAUGCUUAUUAUGUACCAGGCACCAGGCAGGUUUAUUGUAUUAACUCAUCUAUUCCUACUAACAGCCCCCUGGGCUGCUGCUACAGUUAACCCAUUUUACAGAUACGACUACUGAAACACAAAUAGGGAUGUAACAUGUCUGAGGUUACGUGGCUAGAACUGGCACAGGCAGGAUGCAAACAUAGGCAAGAAGGCCACAAAGUCCACCCUCUUAACCACUAGGCUACAUUGUCUCCUGUGGGCUUCCUUGUCAAGUAUAAGAAUUCUAAAGGAAGAACAUAAUUUUCAAGAUUUAGAACCACAGAAAGCCAAAAAUAGCCACCUCUCCAGAACACUGGCCCAAAUAUAAGAGGAUAAAGGUGGAGAGGGCACCCAGAGACUGCACACAGAAACAACGGAAAUAAUGUCCAGAAGGAGUUUAGUGCUGACUGCUCAAGGGACCUGGAGACAAUGGCUUAAAAUCGUCCAGCAUUAGUUUCCUUAUUUCUAAGCUGCAGGUUUUUAAAUUAUAGCCAAUAUUAAAGUGUGGUUAAAGCACACGUUCCAGACUUGUAAUCUGGGCUCCAUUAUUUUCCAAUUAUGUCAAUUUAAGCAAAUUAUUUAACCUCUGAGAGGCUCAAUAUCCUCAUCCAAAAAAAAUGAGGAAAACAAUGGGGUCAUUCUGAGGAUUAAUGACUAUGCAUAUAAAUAUAUAAAGCACUCAGAGUAGCAACCAGUAUAUAAUAAAAGCUCAAGGCUCACUAUUAUUGUUUUCCAUAAUCAUCAUUUCUUUUAGUAUUAAUAUCACAUUUUUUUACUAAAACUACCAACUUUUCAAAAACCUCUCCAAGGAGAGCUGCUAUUUUUCCAGAGUUGAUGGGAAAAGCAAAGAAAAACCUCUACUGGCUUCAUAUAAACAUUAACCAAUGACACUGACUUCUUAUGAGAGGGAAGAUGGAAGUUAUUAGGCAUGCCUUUCAAAAAAAGCUCCUUCUAUGGGAGCUUUUGGGGAAGAAACAGGAGCGUUUACCUUUUUGCCCUCCCCAACUUCUUCCUCUGCCAGGAAUAUGGAACGGGGCUAGAGCCAAGUAGCCAUCCUUAACUGUAGGCAUCCUGUUAGUUAGGGAGAUGACACAGAAAAUGAGUGUCCAAACCCACCAUAGAUCUCCCACUCUCAUCUUCUUUUAUGUUAGAGAAAAAUAUACCUUUAGUUCAAGUACUUAAUUCAAGCUUUUAUUUAACACAACUCUCCACGACCCUGUGAAACACAGUUAAAGGCCACAGUUUCCCGGUAGUUUCAAGGGCUACCUGGCGGGCUAGGCUAUGUAUCAUGACUUUUAUGUCACAUCCUUUGAGCCUGCACCCUCCCCAAUGCCAAGUCAAAGUCAGUGGAUGACCCCAUGGGAAAGAAAAAGCAAAACAUAUUACUUCCAAUACUUAACAGCUAUGCUGUUUUUUUUACAAACAGAACAAAAAGGGUUGAAUGGCUAAAGCAACAGCAUGUGAAAUGCUCCUCCCCCAUCUUACUUUCCUCCAGUCUCUAAAUGGAUCCAAUAUAUCCAAUCUGCAUGCUACUAAGCUAAUGUUAAAGGAGAAAAACAAAGAAAGUCAAAUACAAGAAUAAGGAUGCUUGAUAAAGUUACUGCUAUUAUAAGGCUAUCCAACCGCAAUUACCAGGGACCAUGAAGAAAUAUGUCUCCACCUCACAAAUGUUCCAAUUCCAAAUGUCUAGCAUUUCACAUUAGGCUUUAACUAACAGUAUCUUGGACUGACACUCUAAAAUCUUCUAUUUCAAAAAGUAAAGCUCAAAAAUAGACUUGUUACAUAUUCUCUAGUCUCUCAUGGGCACCAUCUCUAAAAAUCGUAUAUACAAAAACAGCAGUUGAGUCCAUAACUAGAUUAAAUGAAAGGAUUUCAAUCUAAAAUGGAACCAAAAAAAAAAAAAAUGGAACCAGAGGAUAUGAGAUGGAGAAACUCACACAGGCACCCACAGAAAAACAGUACUUAGCAACUAAGAGAGAGAUUCCUAUUCCUAUUCCUAUUCCGAGACUUAUCUCCUGACCUACAAGUAUCUGCUACUACUCUCUCUCAAUCCUCAAGCCGAAGAACUUACCUCCCUGAACUCUGGCUGGCCCCUCACUGCUGUACUCCUUGGCCAGAAAUACAGCAUGUAUUUUCCAAACUGCAAUUGCUCUGGUAUUCCCAAAUAAACUCAAUUUCUGGUCAUUCAAGCUUGCCUCAGUUUACCUCUUUAUUUAGAUUGACAGAAAUACCAUCCUUGAAAUUAUUUUAUGUCUGAAACUUAAUCCAAUAAUACUGCCAUUAUUAUUAAAGAAUGCAUAAUACCAGAUACU